rnacentral:rRNA from 1 species
AUUGAACGCUGGCGGCAGGCCUAACACAUGCAAGUCGAACGGUAACAGGAAACAGCUUGCUGUUUCGCUGACGAGUGGCGGACGGGUGAGUAAUGUCUGGGAAACUGCCUGAUGGAGGGGGAUAACUACUGGAAACGGUAGCUAAUACCGCAUAACGUCGCAAGACCAAAGAGGGGGACCCUCGGGCCUCUUGCCAUCGGAUGUGCCCAGAUGGGAUUAGCUUGUUGGUGGGGUAACGGCUCACCAAGGCGACGAUCCCUAGCUGGUCUGAGAGGAUGACCAGCCACACUGGAACUGAGACACGGUCCAGACUCCUACGGGAGGCAGCAGUGGGGAAUAUUGCACAAUGGGCGCAAGCCUGAUGCAGCCAUGCCGCGUGUAUGAAG